rnacentral:tRNA from 1 species
GGGCGAUUAGUUCACUGGUAGAAUGCUUCGUUUACAUCGAAGAGAAUGGGGUUCGAUUCCCUAAUCGCCCA